GAGGGUCACGUUUGCUCUUCCCGGGGGCCACUUCAGGACACAGUGGUGGUGGUCUCUUUAGUGUUUUAACAGAAGUUCUAACCAUUACUGCAACAUGGAAAUGUUCUCAGUAAAACUCUCUGUCUUCUUGUGACUCGUAGCAGUGCCUGAAGGAAGAAAGUCCAUUCUCCAUUUCAGAAGAUAUCAGAUCUGCACAGACCGCCAAGCCUGUGAGGACGCGUAACAGUGCAAAGCUUUGCAAGAAACAAGGCCAGGUGACGUCUUCAGGUUCCGAGGCUACAAGGCCCUGGGGACGAGAGGAAGAUGGCCCUUGGUGAUCUCCAGGUGUCCUCUGAGGAUGGGGCACUGCAGGCUGUGCCCAGCGGCCAGGAUGGUGGGAAGGCUGUGUGGCCCAGCACCCUGGGAGAGGGAGACAAGGAGCAAGUGGACACAAGCCAGGGAAAGGAUGGGGUGAAAGUGAAAAGCAAACAGAAAAAAGAAAAGGAGCACAUAUCGGAAGAGCAAAGGCGGGAAGGGCUUAAGGAGAAAGGUGCUGGGAGGCAGACCAAGGCUUCGAAGCUGGAGGAGGGCAGCGGGGACUGGAGGGGUGCAUGUGGCCACAGCAGGAGGGCGCCUGCGGAGAGGGGGCGCGGGCCCAGCGGGGAGGCGGUGCAUGGAGGCGAUGGGGACGCGGGAGCCGAGAGCCGCAGGGAAGACGCGCAGGCGGAGGCGGGGGGGAACGUCCAGGACGGGGCAGCUAGCCUACACCGAAAAGGUGGGAGAGUUGGUGGGGAGGAAGCAGCUACGAGGGAAUGUCGAGGAGGGGAAAGACAUGUGGGCUGGAGAAACUAAGAAAGAAGAAAAAAAUGUGGUGCUGGUAACGAGUCCGCAUCAGAGACUGUGGUUUCCAGAAAAGUCAAAAAAAGGAAGAAGGACAACGUGGGCGGAGCAGGGGCUCCGGAAGCAAAGGA